GCAGAAGCAAAGACUAGCAGGUUGGGUCGAUAAACUAUAAAGCACCCAAGACUUUCUGACCAUCCAGGAGCUGGGAGAGGCAUGGAGCCCAGAGUGAGCUAAUACAGUCCCUGAGGAACCACGAUUUCUGGCAUCCGCGCCUUUCUGUGUUUUCCCUACUAUGCUGGUGCCUGGAAGUCAGUCUUCCACUAGCAGCCUUUGGAUGAAGAUGUAGAACUCUCAGCUCUGCCUGUGCCACGCCUGUCUGGAUGCUGCCAUGCUUGAUGAUAAUGGACCUGUAAGCCAGCCCCAAUGAAAUGUUGUUUUUAUAAGACUUGCCUUGGUCAUGGUGUCUGUUCACAGCAGUAAAACCCUAACUAGGACAAUGUCUUACCAAAAUAAGUGUAUGCACAUGUGUAUAUUCGCCUUUAACAUCUAAAAACAACCAGCAUGCGCUGGCACGGCUCUGUAAACGGUAACUGUCGAGGAAUCCACCUCCUUGUAGAGCCGUAAGGGCUGACUCCAGCAGGAAACCAUCAGCGUCCAAGCUCGUAGGAAACCAAAGGUCACCUGACAAACCUAGCAGCCACAAAAAGGUGACGAAAUCUCCAUGGGACUGUGAGAGCCCUGUUGGGAAAAGCAAAGCCAUCCGGGCAUAGCAAGAUACCAGGACCCUGUCAUCUAACAUGCAAAGUGCUUGAGUCUUACAUUCAGAACUGAGACCACAUGAAGUAGUCUGAAGCUACACAGGCAAAGAAAUACCGUGGAUCCAUUGUAUGUGUUUUCUUUCUAAUUGAAUUUGCUUCUCACACACUCAGAGACCAUUGACCGGUGUCACACUUCUCAGAGUCCUGCCUCUCAGUCUCAUGACUCCAGUGGAGCUCCCACUCAGUGUGUACCCUUUGGUCUGUGGAACAGAGAAAUGGCUUCAGAGCUGGAGGCAUGCUCUAAAAACUGUUCUUCACUGUGCUCCGCGGUUGCCUUGUGUGCUUUGAUGAAGAAGAGAGAUGGAUCAGCAAACAGGAGCCUG
rnacentral:lncRNA from 1 species